UGCGAAUAAACUUCACAAACAUAAUGUUGGGCUAUAGAAGCCAGACCCCAAAGAGAAGACAAUCCGUAUGAUCCAUUUAUAGAAAGUUCAAAAGUAGGAAAAAAAGUAAUCUAUGCUGUUAAGAGUCAAGGCAGUGGUUACAUUUGGAGGAUAGCACCUGGAAGGGGAGAUGAAAGGCCUUCUUGGGUGCUGAUAACGUUCUAUGUCUUGAUCUUCGUUUUGGUGCACUGUAUGAAAUGAAUUCACCGUAUGAAACUUCACUAAGCUGUAUGUGUAUGAUCUGUGCUCUUCUUCAUUAUGUCUGGUAGACUUAAAUAAAAAGAGGCUAAAUGUGAGGAGCAUAUCACAGACUCUGGCACAUAGUAAGUACUCAAUAAAUGCUAGUUAUCAUGAAGGAAUGAAUGAAAGAACCCUCGCCUUGCCUUCCAGGGAAAUACAUUAGCAGUCAGAACCAUGGACAGAUCAGAGUCUGCUCUCGAGGAAAGCUGAAGGAAAAAGUGAUCUUAGGUCAGCUACAAAGGAUUGGAAGCAGAUCCAGCUCUUCUAAUCCACCAGCUCUUCAGGCCAAAAUCACAAGCCAAUCUCCUCUGCACUCUAUAUGGAAUCGCUGCCAUGGGUAAUGUUCCUGACAACUUGGAUGCAAAAGCCCCAUGGAUAGUCCCAGGCUUGGAGUACGAAGGGUUGGUCUCCCCGAGCAUCACUUGACCUGUCUUCACCACAUUCAGCCCCUCCCAGGCCAUGGCAACCACAGACCCUGAUUGCAAGUACUUUACCAGGCCACCAGAGAAAGGUCGGUCCUUCAGGUCAAUGUAGUGUUCUUUGAGAAGGUCUUCUGAAGCCUGAAUUAAUUUCAUAGCAAUGAGGAGGAAUCCCUUUUGCUCAAAACGCUUGAUGAUCUCUCCCAAGAGGCUGCACUGGACCCCAUCAGGCUUGAGGCAAUGAAGGUGUGUUCACUGUUGGCCAUGGACCUGGGGAUAGACAGCCCACCAGCUGCUCGGGUUGCAACUCCAUCUGGGGCUGCCGGCAGUGCUGCACAGCACUGGAGGAGCCUAGAAGGAUUCUAAGGCCUCUUUGAGCAGACCUAGCCCAACACAUUGCAUCCCUGAGCUCUACAAGGCUCCCGCUUGGGCAGUCACAGGGUUUCACAGUCUUGCAGAGAACCCAGACACCCAACACUCAAAGAAGGAGAGAAAACCGGCCAAUCAAAUGAUAGUUUCCCUUAGGAAAUCCCCCUGCUCCUACCCCCAGGGCUGCCCCUCUGCACCAGUCAGUUUUCCCUGUGGCCCCACCAGGCCAGUCUCUGGCCUUCAGCCUCCCCCAGCAGAGGGCUGAGGACCAUCACCUGGCCCUGGUAGGGAAUUGACCUGGGAAGCCCAAAGGUAAGUGGUAGGGGCUCAGGGGAGGGGGAGCCCCAGGUGCUGCAGGAAGUGGAGCUGUUAAUUAAGCAGUUCCUUCCCAGCCUGGGAGAGGGAGAUGGGGAGCUGCAGAGGUCCAGGAAGCAGUGGCUCUUAAAGGGGACAAGACCCCUUUCUGAACCUAUUAGGAAGAGCUGUGCUGUAUCCCAGGCUUCUUUACACGUCACACCCAGGAUUUGUCCUGUCCUCUGGGGCUCACUGGUGAAACUAUUUAGUGGGAGAGAAGCCUGUUAAGGAACCCAUGUGAGGGGCGCCUGGGUGGCUCAGUCGUUAAGCAUCUGCCUUCUGCUCAGGUCAUGAUCCCGGGGUCCUGGGAUCGAGCCCUGCGUCCCCCUGCUCGGCGGGAAGCCUGCUUCUCCCUCUCCCACUCCCCCUGCUUGUGUUCCCUCUCUUGCUGUGUCUCUGUCAAUUAAAAAAUAAAAUCUUUAAAAAAAAAAAAAAGGAACCCAUGUGACCAGCAUUCCUCUGAGAAGCCUUGGGGAGUCCCUGGGAGCACAGAACCAGGAGAGGGCACUCUAAGGCCCAGCUCCAGCUCCAAGGGGCGGGACAAAGGCAAGACUAAGGAAAUCCCAGGAAGAGAUGCUCUGAAGGGUCAGGUGGUCAGAUGGUUGUGAUAAGCAGCAGCAACGAGGGCCCCUUGAUAAUGCUUGG
ensembl:lncRNA